rnacentral:miRNA from 1 species
UAUUCUGCUCUUUUCGACGUUUU